rnacentral:misc_RNA from 1 species
AAGUCGUAACAAGGUCUCCGUUGGUGAACCAGCGGAGGGAUCAUUACAGAGUUGCAAAACUCCCAACCCUUUGUGAACGAACCUACCAGUUGCUUCGGCGGCAGACCCCUCUGGGGCCUAGCCUUUACGGGUACCCCGCCGGAGUCCUACAAACUCUUGAUUUUUUUGGCAUCUCUGAGUAGCUUAUAAAUAAGUUAAAACUUUCAACAACGGAUCUCUUGGUUCUGGC